UCUCUUAGGGUAUAAUGGCUAAUAUACACACGCUAGAUAUGCUGCUGAUAUCGUAAUCCGUGUGAGAUCUGGGUUCGAUUCCCAGUGAGAGGA